ensembl:misc_RNA Metazoa_SRP Metazoan signal recognition particle RNA
GCUGGGCGUGGUGGCGCACACCUGUAAUCCCAGCUACUCGGGAGGCUGAGGCAGGAGAAUCACUUGAACCCAGGAGGCGGAGGUUGCAGUGAGCUGAGAUCACACCACUGCACUCCAGCCUGGGCGACAGAGCGAGACUCUGUCUCAA